CGGGCUGGGCCCUCUUCCUCCCACAGCUCUGGGGUCCUGUGCCCCGAAGAGCUUCCUUCCUCCUUCCACACGCCUCCCAGUGCCUCCCAGGAUUGCAACUUGGCGGAACUGAGCAGGGAGAAGCAGCAGCUUCAAGGACGCUCCUCAGCGUGGAACGAGAAACAAUGUCACCCUCGGAGAGGAGUGUACCUCUCAGCCCACUGGCCAGCACUCCAUGUUCCUCCCUUUAGGAAAGACCCAGCUUCCACUGGCCUAGUGUGUGUGCACACACGUGUGCCUUCUGGUCAUUGCUCCAGAACACGAGGAGGGAAGAAACAGAAAAUCAUCAAAGAGGAAAAUUAACGGCUGGAGAGGGCAUUGUUAACCCUUAUGGCUUGGCUCACCUGGCUUUCCACCCCGCAGCUCCGCGUGCACCCGCCAAAGCGGCUGAGUCUUUUUAUGACUACAACUCCAAGAAGGGAAAAAAGACGCGAAAAGAAGAGGGGGGGAAAAAACCAAACCAGGAGGCAGAGGAGAAAAAAGCAAAAGAAAAGAGAAAGAGAAUUAAACCAUUAAUCUGCCUGGAUUUUCCACUUCACAGAGUAAUCAGUUUGGAAGUGACUGAAAUAAAGUGGAAUGUACGAUUCCCACCAUCUCCUCCCUCCAGUCCACAUUUCUUAUUUACAGAAAAACGGGGAGCCAGAGAGGCGGCCUCCUUGCCCCCCACAAAGGCCUCCAGUGUCCGCUCGAGACGAGGACAAGGACCCCAGCCCUCAGCCGCAGCUGCCCGAUGCCUCGACACCCGGGCGACGGCCGCCCUGAGCUGGAGGUGCAA
rnacentral:lncRNA from 1 species